UUGUUUGCGCACAAACACCUGCAUAUAAAUAUAACAGCACAAGCAAUGCGAGGUGGUAUCAAAAAUCCACUUCUAGCUAAAUAGUCUCUUUGCGUUACUUAAACUUUAUAUAUACAUAUCGACGUAGCGGCGCUCGCGCGCGCACAACUCGACUUAAUUUCGAUAUAAUUGCCAAAAAUGGCCAAGAACGGCGACUCCGAUCACGAGGAGAAGGCCCACUUCGUGCUGGUCCCUGUGAUGGCCCAGGGCCACACCAUCCCCAUGCUCGACAUGGCCCGCCUCCUCGCCGGCCGUGGCGCCGCCGUCACCUUCGUCACCACCCCUCUCAACUUCGCCCGCAUCAAAUCCCUCGCCGACUCCGUCGCCAACUCUGGCCUGCCGAUCCACUUCCUGCCCCUGCGCUUCCCGUGCGCAGAAUGCGGCCUGCCCGACGGCUGCGAGAACAUUGACGUGCUCCCGUCCAGCGACCUCCUCGCAAGCUUCUGGCGCGCCUGCGCCAUGCUCCGCGAGCCGCUGGCGAGCCACCUGCGCCACAACUCCCCGGCGCCGCCGACCUGCAUUAUAUCCGAUACAGGCCACCCGUGGACCGGGGACGUCGCACGGGAGUUUGGCAUCCCGAGGCUCUGUUUUCCCUGCUUCGGCGCGUUUGCCGCUCUCGUCAGGCACGUCAUGUACCGGUUGAAGAUAUUCGAGAACGUGGCCGACGAGAACGAGCCGGUUNAAAAUUUAUAAUUUUAAUGGCCGAUAUGGUGCAUUUGCUCGUUUAACAGUAUAUAAGGGUUCAAAUCAACUAAAUUUUUGUUAAAAAAUUUUUUAAACUAUUUAAAAUAAGAUCUAGACUCUAGAUUUCAAAUAUAAAAAUUGUAUCAUCAUUUUUUUAAGGAUAUUCAUAUUCCAGCCAUUCAUUUUUCUGUUCACUUGAUGGACAAGAGAACAAUAUCAAAAAUGUGUGAAAUUUAAUUUUCAGAUAGUUUAAAUAGUUUAGAUCAUAUUUAACGGUGCCGAUCAUCAAUUUAGAAGCUCUAUUAUCGAAAAUAAAUCGGUAGUAAACCGAGCCGUUCACUACCGAUAGUAUUCUAGCAAAACUCUCUCUCUCUCUCUCUCUAUAUAUAUAUAUAUAUAUAUAUUGGGUUUUAAAAUUUUAUAGCAUAAAAUUUCAAAUAUUAUAAAAUUUUUAAGUAAAUUCUUCGAAAACAAAAACACGUACGGACAAACCCAUCGACACCGGCCGACGUAUUCUUUACCGCGACGGACAAGCUCUUCACAGAGACAAGCCCACGCAGAGAAACGAGACACACACACACACACACACACACACACACACAUAUAUAUAUAUAUUUGGAUUAUUAUUUGUCUUUUAUAUAAUAUAAAAAAUCUGGCUUAUUAAAUAGCUUAACUGUUACUGCUACCAUUCUUUUAUUUAGCAAGCACAAGAAUCUUCUUACCUCUUUCGCUGCCCCUCCUUAAUAUUUUUGCGCACAAGCACCUGCAUAUAAAUAUGACAGAAGAAGCCAUGCGAGGCGGUAUCCAAAUCCACUUCUAAUAUAUAGUCUCCUUGCAUUAUUACUCUACUUUAUAGGUAUAAUAUCCACGUAGCACCACAAUCUCAUCGCUUGCACCAUCACGAGCAAUUAAUUAACUCCGAUAUAAUUACCAAAAAUGGCCACGAACGGCGACUCCGAUCACGGGGCGAAGGCCCACUUCGUGCUGGUCCCUUUGAUGGCGCAAGGCCACACCAUCCCCAUGCUCGACAUAGCGCGCCUCCUCGCCGGCAGUGGCGCCGCCGUCACCUUCGUUACCACCCCUCUCAACUUCGCCCGGAUAAAAUCCCUCGCCGACUCCGUUGCGAAAUCUCGUCUCCCGAUCCACUUCCUGCCACUGCGCUUCCCGUGCGCAGAAUGCGGCCUGCCCGACGGCUCCGAGAACAUUGACGUGCUCCCGUCUCGCUACUGCCUCGCAAGCUUCUUGCACGCCUGCACCAUGCUCCGCGAGCCGCUGGCGAACCACCUGCGCCGCAACUUCCCGGCGCCACCGACCUGCAUUAUAUCUGAUACAGGGCACCCGUGGACCGGGG
rnacentral:lncRNA from 1 species